rnacentral:rRNA from 1 species
AUGAACGCUAGCGGGAGGCCUAACACAUGCAAGCCGAGCGGUAGAGUUCCUUCGGGAACUUGAGAGCGGCGUACGGGUGCGUAACACGUGUGCAACCUACCUUUAUCUGGGGGAUAGCCUUUCGAAAGGAAGAUUAAUACCCCAUAAUAUAUUGAUUGGCUUCAAUUAUUAUUUAAAACUCCGGGGGAUAGAGAUGGGCACGCGCAAGAUUAGAUAGUUGGUGAGGUAACGGCUCACCAAGUCAAUGAUCUUUAGGGGUCCUGAGAGGGAGAUCCCCCACACUGGUACUGGGACACGGACCAGACUCCUACGGGAGGCAGCAGUGAGGAAUAUUUGGCAGUGGGUGUAAGCCUGAUCCAGCCAUCCCGCGUGGAGGAUGACCGUCCUAUGGAUUGUUGACUUCUUUUGUACAGGGAUAAACCUACUCACGUGAGAGUAGCUGAAGGUACUGUACGAAUAAGCACCGGCUAACUACGUG